rnacentral:lncRNA from 1 species
GUGGGAGUGGGAGGUGAGUGAGUGGGUACAUAUUUAUGAGGUGGUGCCCAUGGUUCCCUCUUGUGCAACGUUCUAUGAUGCUGUGAGUAUGGAUGUGUCAGAAACCUUGUUUGAUAUGCACAUUACAAGACAGUAAACUACAGAAAGGGACUGUGGAAACCCAGGAGGAGAGCUUGCUUACGAACAGUAACCUUUUUAGCUAUUCUACGUCUUGGCGUGCUUGUAUUGAUUGACAGAACGCUUCAGGAACCUGCUAAAUGCUGGCAUUAAUAGUAUUGCUAGCACCUGUCAGGCCUGGAACCCCUUAAUAUGAUGCGACUGUAUUAUUUUCCUCUCUGCUUUUGUUUUUAAUAAUGAUGACACACCCCAGAUAAAGACAUUUUAAUAACUCUCUUCAGCAAAAAUGUGUUCCGGCACCUGCAUCACUGCUGAUAGCUUAGAGCAUCCGUACCAUUUUCAGAGAUCAUGCAGAGAGAAAGCCGACUUAGCUUCUAAGGCAAAGUUAUGACUAUAAUUUUCCUCAAUUGCAGUCUAGUCUCAUUUGAUUUGUGCUCAAGGGUACUUCAAUUGGAUUGAUUUCCACCAGUUGGAAUAUUUUACUACAGCUGGAAGCCUGAAAUGGAACUCACGCCACUGAUUCUAUCAGAAACCAAGUUCUGGAGUCUGUAAUGUUCUUCUGAUCAUUUUCACUGAUGGAGGAUCCUUCACAACAAGAUUUGGGAGAUUUAUGCAGUUAUGAUGAGAACCAGUAUAAUCUUUCAAGGUGCUUCUUUUCUAAGGAACUCUAAAAGGGAGAAAUGUUACGAGCCAAGGAGCGGCACUGGGAAAAACAAGCCAAGGCCAGGGACAAAAAUAACCCACAGAAAAGAUGCUUGCCUGCAGCAAACAGGAUGCCACGGAGGAGCUUCUCCCAGCUGGCUGUUGCCCUUUCAGCUUGGGCCUCAGAGUGAGCACGUAUGGAGCAGACCUGAGUCCAAUCUGCAGCAAGGAGACAAGCCCAGCUGGACUGCAAUAUGAUGCAAAGCUGCCCAGGACUUCUGAGACACUCCACAAAAAAGGAAAUCCAAGCAGCUAAUAUGCUUAUGAAAAGGUGCUGACAUCAUUACUCCACAGGGAAAUGCAAAUUUAAACCACAAAAGAUACCACUGCCUACCCACGUGAAUGGCUACAGUCAAAAGGACUAGCUACACCGAAUGUCCAUGAGGAUGUGGAGCGAUUGGAACUCUCUCAGACGUUGCUGGUAGGAGUGCGCACUGGUAAAAUGACUUCGUACAAAUAUUCUUGGAAUAUUGCUUGGAGGCAUGUGAAAGCUCAAUAUAUUCCCAUUCUAUGGCUCAGCAAUUCCAGUAAAAGACGUGUGUCAGAUUCAUACCAUCUUUAUUCGUACGUAACAGCCCCAAAUGGGAAAUGACUCAAAUGUUCAUGGGCAGUAUCUUGGAUAAAUGAAUUGUGGUACCUUGACACACUACGCAGAAAUGAGAAAGGUCAAACCACUGCUGUAUGCAACAAUAUGGAUGACUGUCACCAAUAUAAUGUUGAGUAAAUGAAGCCAGAUUCAGAAAAGCACUUAUUGUGUGAUUCCAUUACAUGAAGUUUAAGAAUAAGCAAAAUAAUCUCUAGCGAUAGAAAUAAGACCAGAGGUUACUUUUGGGAAUGGUGUUGAUUGGGAGGGGCAUGAGGGAACCUUCCGGAGGGCUGGAAAUGAUCUAUAUCUCAAUUUAAGUGGUCGUUACACAAGUGUAAACAGAUGUAAAAGUUUAUCAAGCUUUACACUUCACAUUUGUGCUUAUUACUAUGUCAAUCAAAUAUGUCAAGCAAAAAGGAAAAAAUCAAACUCUAUUUGGCUCUAAAUUACUACAAAUUAGGCUCUAUUGGUGUUUUGGGGGACAAGGAGGCUUGCCUGUGUCUUCCCAUUAUACUGUGACCUCUUGGGGGGGGGGGUGCUAUUUAAUUUCAUUACUGAAUCCACAACUUCUAGAGACAUGACAUGUCCACUGAAUAAUUUUGUUAAAUAUUUAGGCCUUAGGUGCUGCUUUUGGUGGGUACCAAGGCUGAGGUGAAGUUAAUGACUUUUGAAUGUUCCGUUCUUUUAGAAAAUGAGUAGUUCUAUUUUUCAAGUCAUGUCCCUUCUUACGGCCUCCAGUAAGGGCGGAGCUGCUCAAUGAACUCUUCCUAAUGUCAUAAAUAAUAAAGUGGAACUAGGGUUAAGACCA